GCUUCCUUGGCUCAGUUGGCUAGAGCGCAGGUCUCAUAGCAUUGUCUAUGACGUUGGUAUCUGACCAAUGGCAUCCUGGAGGUCGCAAGUUCGAGCCUUGCAGGAAGCA
rnacentral:tRNA from 1 species